GAUGAAGAACGUAGCGAAAUGCGAUAAGUAAUGUGAAUUGCAGAAUUCAGUGAAUCAUCGAAUCUUUGAACGCACAUUGCGCCCCCUGGUAUUCCGGGGGGCAUGCCUGUUCGAGCGUCAUUUCACCACUCAAGCCUCGCUUGGUAUUGGGCAACGCGGUCCGCCGCGUGCCUCAAAUCGACCGGCUGGGUCUUCUGUCCCCUAAGCGUUGUGGAAACUAUUCGCUAAAGGGUGUUCGGGAGGCUACGCAGUAAAACAACCCCAUUUCUAAGGUUGACCUCGGAUCAGGUAGGGAUACCCGCUGAACUUAAGCAUAUCAAUAAGCGGAGGA
rnacentral:misc_RNA from 1 species